rnacentral:piRNA from 2 species
UAUGGAUGAGAAAUGCGGAUAUGGGA